AAGCCCUCCGGCGCUUCUUUGACAAUAAGAGGCGCACGUACCGGUUGGAGAAGAAGAAAGUGGAAACGACAAAGAGCGCCAGAAGUCAUUGAUGACCCUGCAGAUGCUUCAGACGCUAUGACUGCAGCGACUGACGACCACAAGGCUACCGUGGACGACCCACCCUCGGGCAAGGCAUCCCCCCCUACGUCCCGCCAAACAACUCACAAGAAGAGGCGCCGAUCUUCUCAUCGUUUAGGUGAUAUGUUGGCAAAAAGACGAUUUGCUGGAAGAAAAUGGCUGCCAACAUGAGCCAACCAGCGAGCGCCGCACAACAGGAAGACGAUAUCGACUGUUUUGGUAAAGUCGUUGCUGCCCACAUGCGCCGCGUUCCGACGGACAAGCUCAUUGCUUGUCAAAGCCGCUAUCUAAAA
rnacentral:lncRNA from 1 species